CUUCCCUCUCCUCUCCUCGAUCGGUGCCAUCCACACAGGACGUGGGCUCUGCUGGCUGCCCUCGGGUGCUGUUUCUAGGCCCCUGACGCAGGCAGAGGGAAGCGGGCUGAGGAUGCGCAGUGAAGACAUCCAGGCACCCAGGCUGGUGCUGGGCUUGGUUCCGGGUCUUUGCCCCUUGGCAGGUGUGAGCGUCUCCUUGGGAGCAAGGACCAGGGUCCCUGGUUCCUCCUGCCCAGUAUUUGAAACAGAGUGGCUAUUCCACAGUCUGUCAUUGAAAUAAUGUCACCGGCACACUAGCCACAGUGCCAGUAACACCCAUGGGCCCGAUCCCCAGACAGCGGCAGCAGCUCCCCUUCCUGCGCCCCGCCCUGCAGGCACCGCGCGCUGCCUUCUUCCCUUUGGUUUCCGCGGUGGGGACUCCCGGCGUCCCUGUUGUGCGGGUGGAGAAGCGGGAGCGCAGAGACAUGAGGUAACUUGCUCCGGCCCCAGCUAGGAAGGGGCGGAGGCCCAGGCUCUGGCCACCCAGAAGUCCGGCUGUACCAGGAAGGCUCAGGAAGCUUCCUUUGCUUGUCACUGCUUCUCUGUAGCCAAGGGUGCCCUUGACCUCAGGGACUCAGAGCGAAUCCUGGAGAGUCACAGCUCCCUGCUGGCAGUUGAAAGAGACUCCAAACACCAUUCUGCUGCAGCCCUGGUGGAGACAUUGAGGCCCAGAGGGGUUAAAUUUGGGGAGAGAAGGACACGUGCCCACGGAGCGUGAAACGGCAUGUGAAUGCUGAGUAAUUCCGAGGCCUCUGCGGGACGUCACGUUUCCAAAAGCGCGCGAGCCCUGCCCCUCCGGCAAGAGGCACCAUAGAAAUGUGUGCUAACAAGCCUCCCUGCGGCCUGCGGGGAAUAGGAGAGAGCAGGAAGCUUUCAGAACAACAAGAGUGGCUAGAAAAGGCCCCGGAUGGGAGGAGACGAACAGCCCAGCCCCACGGUCUUUCUCAUGGGUGGAAAGUCACUAGCACCCAGAAAAGCAAGGCUAAGAGAUCCUGGGGAGCUGGCACAAGUUCUCUGGUCUUAAAGACGCAUGUGAUUAGAUCUGGCUCACUGGGAUGUUCCAGGAGAAUCUCUCCAUCUCGAGAUCCUUCACUUAAUCACGUUUGCAAAGUCACUUUUGCCAUGUAAGGCAUCAUAGUCACAGUUUCUGGGGGUUAGGGUGGUGACGUUUUGCGUGGACAUGAUUCUGCCUAUUACGGCAGGCUCCUAAUGUGAUAUAGAUCCCGGUAGUACUGAUUAGAGGAAGGACUCAUCUUAAUUCCUCCCAUUAAAACUUUUUCUAAUGUUUCUAAUCUCGAUGCUGAAAUAAAUGAGCCUUCGCCAUGUUAAAUUGGAGGAGAGGAAAUCAUCUCAACGGUCUGUGAAAGGGUGAUUUUUGAGAAGAAAGAGGUCCUAUACAUUUUUAUUUUUAUUUUUUCUCACUCUUGUCACCCAGGCUGGAGUGCAAAGGCACGAUCUCCG
rnacentral:lncRNA from 1 species